rnacentral:lncRNA from 1 species
UUUGUUUGUCUGGUCCGUUUUUAGUAUUACUGGUAUUCAAGUAUAGUUUUUUGGGUUUAUUCUUGGUUGGUUUUACAAUUUGAAAGUUCUUGGUUUCUUGCUUGGUUGCAAUCUCCUGGGUUUUCUGCUAUUCCCGGUGUUACUGGGUUACUCCUGUGUCGUUGAACUGCUGUUGUUGUGUGUGUGCUGUUAUUGCUUCCUACUGAUCUUCAUCUUCUUUGUAUUCCAAUACCAGGUACACCACUUUGAAUCACUUUGAUGUACGCCUUGAAGAUGAAAUGAAAUGGCAGAAACUUAUGUACUUAUUUAUAGUACAUUUGUACUUUAGUUAAACAUUAAUUAUAUAUUUUCCUUCUAUACGAAUGAUAGAGGUAGUCGAUACGGUAUUUUUGCUUAAUUUGAGCAAGUUGUUAGAUUAUUGAAUUAUAGGACGUAUGGUUGCAAGAAUUGCAUGAAUAUUAGUCAAUAUGGUAUCUUGUUUAAUUUGAGCAAGUUGUUAGUUUAUUGAACUAUAGGACAUAUGUUUGCAAGAAUCGCAUAACUAAUAGCUUCAUCUUUACUAGUUUUCAUGUUUAAAAUAAAGUAAUUCG